AUUGAACGCUGGCGGCAGGCCUAACACAUGCAAGUCGGGCGAGCGGAGGACGGGUGAGUAAUGUAUGGGGAUCUGCCUGAUGGCGGGGGAUAACUACUGGAAACGGUAGCUAAUACCGCAUACCAUCAGAUGAACCCAGAGGGGAUUAGCUAGUAGGUGAGGUAACGGCUUACCUAGGCGACGAUCCCUGGCUGGUCUGCGAGGAUGAUCAGCCACACUGGUAAUGAGACACGGCCCAGAAUCCUACGAGAGGCAGCAGUGGGGAAUAUUGCACAAUGGGCGCAAGCCUGAUGCAGCCAUGCCGCGUGUAUGAAGAAGGCCUUAGGGUUGUAAAGUACUUUCAGUCGGGAGGCGUUACCGACAGAAGAAGCACCGGCUAACUCCGUGACAGCAGCCGCGGUAAUUC
rnacentral:rRNA from 1 species